rnacentral:rRNA from 1 species
UACGUAGGUGGCUAGCGUUGUCCGGAUUUACUGGGCGUAAAGAGCUCGUAGGCGGUUUGUCGCGUCUGCCGUGAAAGUCCGGGGCUCAACUCCGGAUCUGCGGUGGGUACGGGCAGACUAGAGUGAUGUAGGGGGAGACGUGGAAUUCCUGGUGUAGCGGUGAAAUGCGCAGAUAUCAGGAGGAACACCGAUGGCGAAGGCAGGUCUCUGGGCAUUAACUGACGCUGAGGAGCGAAAGCAUGGGGGAGCGAACAGG